ensembl:lncRNA SNHG14 small nucleolar RNA host gene 14
AGUGAAUGACCUGUUGCAGUGCUUUCAUUGAAGUGUUCUUCGUUCCCUCAGCAAUAUGAUUGUGAUGACUGAAAAAGGGAAACUGUGCCACUAUUUGUACCAUCAUUUUCACCAAAAUCUAAAAAUGCUUUUUAUGACGUAUGGAGACAUUCUUCAUGUUUGUUUCAGUGGACACUCCUUGCAGAUGUAAAAAACUGAGAAAACUCACUUUUGGAAAGUGACCUAAAGAGUGUCAUUGAAGUGAAUUUUAAGUAGGCACGAUGAUUGUUUUCAUGGUUGCUGUUGGAUCAUAUCUCAGGAGCUGGAAUGACAGACAUUAUUGAACAAAGAAAUCAGGAUAGUGGAACUUAAAGGGCUUCAUCUCAGUGCUUUCAUAAGUAUGAAGUGCAUAUAUUUAUAAUUUUCACUAAUCACAGGGUAAAUAUAAAAUUGAUUCAUUAAAAAUGUUUCAUAAGAAUUCAAAGGACAUAGAAUUUUGUGAAAUGUAGUAUUUUUACUUAAGUGCCUUUUCUCUGCUUCUACCCCACAGCCAAUUUUUUAUAAACCAGUUGAUAACAUAAGUAGUUUUUGGGGGAUGAUACAUUACUUAUACAUUUUCUAUGUAGUAAACAUGUAUGUGUAUGUGUGUGGGUGUGUGUCUAAUUACUUUGUUGGACAGAUUCCUGUGGUUUGGAACUGCUGGGGCCAAGUUUAUACAAAAAUCUACAUUUUUGAGUAAACUCCCCAUGACUCUAGUAAGUUUCCACAGUAUUUGAGUAUUCUUUAUUUCCUAAAGCUGUACAAACAUCAGAUAAUCAAUAUUUGUAAGGAUCGAUAAUAUAAUUUAUAAUGAAAUUGCUUUAUCAGCUAUUAAUGUUAACUACAUCAUCUUCAUAUAGCCUUAUAACUCAUUUGUGCUAUUCCAUUUUCCUCUGUUCCUUUUAUUUUCACUUCCCUUGUAAUGUUAGUCUCUUUGUACUGAUUUCUGAAGAGUUCAUUUAUGAUUAAACAUGUUAACAUUUUGUCUAGAAUUGCAAAUAUGUUUUUUCUCAUUCAUUUUACUAUGGUGUUUUAUUUUUUGGUUAUACAGAAGUUGUAUAUUGAAAUAUAAUCUUGUUCUGUUUUAUGA